AGGAUGCUACAGCGCACUGUUCCUCCUCCUCCUCCUCCUUCUCCCCCUCUUCCCCCGCCGCUCCCCUCCCGCCGCGUCCCCCGGGCUGCGGGCCCGCCCGGCCGCGGGGCUGCGCUGGAGCACGGGCCGGCCAUCCGCGCUUCCUCGCUGCUGCUUCCUGUUCGUUUUCGUUGAUAGCGACUGAGUCGCUCUUCAUACACGCCUGCGAGAUAGAUUGUGGAAAAUUGAGGAGAAUAUUUGGGAUAAAGAAAUGAAAUGCUCGAGGGAAGCUUGAUGCUCCCAAAUGCUUUAGGGAUCUGCAGCUUCUUAACUGCACCAGUAAUUGCAGCUCCCACAGAAUCCUUCCAGAGCUGGAAGGGACAGGGAAGACAAUUCCAGGAGCAGUGGGAAGUGCUUUCUUCGGGGUCUGGACGGCGCUGAGGUUGGAACGAGUUCCCGGUAUUUCUUGUGCCUCUCCUGUUUCCACCCAGGACUAGGUUGGUCUUCCGUAAGUGGCUGCAGUUCCCUGAAGGUGGGAGGAAGCCUGUGCUGGAGAGUGGGAGAAAUGUUCCUGCUGGUUGCUGUGUCCUCAGUGGGCAGAGUUCUCUGACCAUGGCCAGAUGGGUUGUUGCUGUAUCUCUUGGAUGCUGUGCAGAAUGGAAUCAAGCAGCCAAACCUCAGGGUCACCUUCUCCCUGACCCUCUACAUUGCUUGUGUGGCACAGCAGAUGCUGAAGCCAGGUACAGGAACUUCCUGCUUGUGUCUCUGCUGGGGUGGAAAACGGAGCCUUGGGGAAUGUUGAUCUCCUCAGCUGCUCUGUGCUCAUGCACUCUUGACUGAGCUUUUCAUUCUGGGGAAUAGAAGGGGAGGGAUGGCCAGCAAUGUAAUGAGCCUCAGAGCAAAGGCCUUCUGCAGUUCCUGGCCUGUUCUCCCAGCUUGGAACUCUGCGCAGUGCAGCUUCCACUUAUUGCUGUCCAUGGUUGUGGAUUGGGAACAUUGUCCUCCUCCACAGUGCCAGCUUUUUCUCUUCACAGAGGAGCACAUGGACAUAAAGGUAAACCAAUUCCUUCUGUCACACCAGUAUUUAGACCUGAGGAAAGUACCAGAUUUUUUCCAGCUUUUCUACAGUUUUGAUUUUGAGGUAAGAGUACCAUUUUAGGUAUCCAGUAAUUCUUCAGAAAUGUACAGAAAAAAGCCAUUCUUCUCAUUCUUCCGUAGUGGUUAAUUAGAGGCAUCUUUCUUUUUUUCAUAUUGGAAUUAAAAAUGUGAUUUCUCUGGGGCUUUUGUUGUUUUCUUAAUACUAACACACAAUGAAUUGUGCUGUGUAUGCUCUGUGAGCACAAUAAUCAGAAUAUUCUGCCCCAGCUAGCCUACAUUAAUCUUUGAGGUUAGACUAGUAACAUUGAGUUCAACUGAAGUAUUUUAGGAACAGCAACUUCUAAAAUUCCAUUUCCACUGCAUGUUUGGGUUGCAGACUGACUGUUCCUGAUGGAUGUUAAUUAUCAUGCAGGAAAAUCCAUGGCGCUUGUAUUUUCUUUUCUCAGGACUAUGCUAGAUCUGACCAAGCUGACAGAGUUCUUCAGCAACCUCAGCUCUGUGCUGGAAUCCCAUGCUGCUGUUGUUGAGUUUUAGGGAGAUGAGGCGUUUCAUGGCCCAUGACAGCGUCCUGUCCAGCAGGGACCUGCUGCUGCUGCUGCACAAGUGGAGCCUUGUCAGCAAAGACCUGCAGCUGCAGGAGGAGCUGCAGGCCCUAGCCCAGAAGUGCCGAAACAAAGAAUUGCUCAGUAAGUCCUAAAAUACUUCAAGAAAGGCAUAUUUUGUUGCAGCUGUUACAGACCAACAGGACAAGUGAGGCAAACUUCUCUGGAAAUAGUACUAAUACCUUCUGUCAGAUUGAUGUAGCUGGAGGCAGGAGGGAAGGAAAUGGAAAGGCAUUUUUCCAUGGAAGUGGAAAGGUUAGGGCUUUCAUCUCCUUCCCCUGUGAUUUAAAUGGUAUCAAUUGAAGAAAACCCUGCUUUUUCCAUGAUGUCAGGGAGUCCCUAUUUUCCAUUCUUUUCCAGAUCAAAUAGGAGAACCUUGACAAAGCUCUUUUAUGGAUUUGAAUUAAGGAUAACUCCUACAGCUUAAAUUGAGGGGGAACCCCAGUUGUCCCUCCUUUUUAAGGGUUUGAGUUGAGGGGAAAAAAAUCCCCCUUUUUCCAUCAUUGGGGAGAUUUAAAGUGAGGAAAAGCUCUCUUUUCCCAAAAUUUUAGGGGAUUACAUCAAAAAGGAGAAGCCAUUUAUUUGCCAUUGUAUCAGUGGAAGUGGAGGUAACCGCCCCAUUUCCUCUUUUCAAGGGGUUCACUUGAAGGAAGCUCUUUCCUUUUCAGCAUUUUAAGGGUUUAAAAUUGCAUUUCGGGGCAGUUCUUCCUGUACCCUGGUACCAUUCAGGUGAGAGAGAACCUGGCACAUAUGUAACCCUAACAGCCCCCCGGAAUCUAUUAUUUUUCCCAGUUUUAUUUAUAAUGUAGAUAGCCCUAAAUAGAGGUCCCAGUGAGACUUACACCAUUCAUCUCAUUGCUAUUCUUCUCCACCCAACUUAGUCACAUGUGGAGUACUAAGACUAGCAGUCACUAAGGAAUAAUUAUGCAACUUAAUAAAUUAUCCAGCUUAUAUAGCUGUUCUGCUGAAACAUAAAGUUUUACUUCUGACCAGAUUUCUGCCCUUUUGCUGAAAGUAGUUGUAGCAGAAAAGAAAGCAUUGUCAUGUCCCUGAAGUGUUUUCUUCUAUAUUGAAGAAAUACUCACCUUUCUCACCUUGAAUUUAAGUCAGAGGAGCCAAAGAGCUGCAGCUCCUCUGAGACCUUUUAUGCCUUGUGGGAUUUGCUCCUCCUUUUUUGUGGGAAUGAGAGGCGGGCCCAAUUAUAUUAACCCCAUAUUAUAUUAACCCCAGCCUUUGCUAAGGGCCUCUAGGGGAUCCCUUUCACUGCUUCACUCUCUCUUGUUCUUCUUUUUCUUUUUUGAAAUGAAUACUCAAUAUUUAUGUAAUAUCUCUUACUCAAUCCCUCUCCCUGUUCUGUCCUAUUUUUUGCCUCUCUCUCUCACUUGCUGCCUGCAUCUUUAUUUCUCCUUUCUUCCUCUCCUUUUCCCUCUGUCCUGCACCAUGACUGUGUUUCUUUGUCCCUGUCACUGUCCCUUUGCCUGUACCUGGGUGCACCUGCUGCCCAGUGCAAAUAUAUAUGCCAAUUAUAUAUUUGGUUUUUGUUCCCCUGUAUUGUUCUGUGUUUGCACUUGCUGCUGCAUUUCCAUGCCUUGCUCUGUAUGUAAAUUCACCUUUAGCAGCGUGUCCAUGGAGUGUACCUGUAAUUGAAUUGGUACCUGUACUUCCCUUUGUAUACCUUGCUGUCUUUUGCUGUGAAUAAAAACAUUCAUUCAAUAAAGUUAAGUCACCCCUAGUCAGGAUA